CGUUGAAGGUGAAUCGUAAGGUUUGCUGGAGGUAUCAGAAGUGCGAAUGCUGACAUGAGUAACGAUAAAGGGGGUGAAAAACCCCCUCGCUGAAAGACCAAGGGUUCCUGUCCAACGUUAAUCGGGGCAGGGUGAGUCGACCCCUAAGGCGAGGGCGAAAGCCGUAGUCGAUGGGAAACAGGUUAAUAUUCCUGUACCACCACGUGAUGCGAUGGAGGGACGGAGUAGGCUAGGUGAUCAGGGCGUUGGUUGUCCCUGUUCAAGGAUGUAGGCAGAGAGCUUAGGAAAAUCCGGGCUCUUAAUGCUGAGAUCUGAUGUCGAGUUUCUACGGAAACGAAGUCAUUGAUGCCAUGCUUCCAAGAAAAGCUUCUAAGCUUCAGUCACGUGGGAUCGUACCCGAAACCGACACAGGUGGUCAGGUAGAGAAUACCAAGGCGCUUGAGAGAACUAUGUUGAAGGAACUCGGCAAAUUACCUCCGUAACUUCGGGAGAAGGAGGCCUCAAUCUGGGCAACCAGGUCUGAGGGGCACAAAACUGGGGGUUGCGACUGUUUAUCAAAAACACAGGGCUCUGCGAAGCCGUAAGGCGACGUAUAGGGUCUGACGCCUGCCCGGUGCCGGAAGGUUAAAAGGAGGAGUGAGAGCUCCGAAUUGAAGCCCCGGUAAACGGCGGCCGUAACAAUAACGG
rnacentral:rRNA from 1 species